rnacentral:tRNA from 1 species
GGUAAGAUGGCCGAGAGAAUAGGCAGUGGGUUGUAGCCCCAAACACAAAGGUUAGAACCCUUUUCUUGCCA